UUCACCUUGACCUUCACUGCCCGUGAAAGAGCUUAAGUAAAUUGAUGUUGUAUCAUCAGAAUCUGUAGCCUGGCUCAUCACAGGGGCUCUCUUAUCAGCAAAAUAGCUACUCUAGAUGCGCAGAUGACGAUCCAGCCGCGGUUGCGCUUUAUCUCGUCGGGACGAAAUAGCCCUGCCUUGUCCCUGCCGCCGCCGGUAGAGGCUAUUUUCCAUAGGCCAAGGAAACAACAUGGACAUGCUGCCCUUUUUCCCAAUCAAAAUACUUCUGUGUGGAGAGCUCGGGCGUCGGUGGCUGUGUCGAAGCAGAGCUCGGUCAUCGGUGACAGCACGGCCGGCUGAUUUGCGACUGGUCGGAUGGCGAGCUUCACAUACCUGUGCGCGUACCCAUGGGUAACACACUAUAUUGGCCGCGCAAGAGCAAGUUCACAGUGAUUGCAAGGGGAGAGAUGUGCUGCACUUAUGUCAGUAAUCAGGGCAGGCCCAUAUCCAUUAUAUGCAUAUUUUGUUAGUACUAUUGUAAUUUAGCAAGUUCUUGUUCUUUCCGUAAGUUGUUUGCUGAACAUUUCAUGCCGCCUUGAGCAUGCAAAAGUACUUCUAAAUUUUGCAUGAUAUUUUGUUAGUCAUAAAUCAUGUCACACACCACAUCUAUAUUUUUUUAUUUUGGUAGUUUAAAAAUAACUAUUCUAAAUGUUCUUUUAAUAACUAUUCUAAAUGUACUAUAGACCGAAGUCAGAAUAUUGGUAAGCUCAUUCUUUUUGUAAGCUAUGGAGAUGAAUUUGAUGAGUUGUGUGAAGAUGAAAGGAAGCCGAUGGAAUAUACUUUGAUUAGCAGUGACCUUGGAGAGCGAAUGGUGCCCCUACAUAGACUUUACUGAAAAGUUGCUAUUUAAUGUUUUUUUGGUUAGAGAAAAGAUCACAGUGGAAACAACUGCAGAAGCAGCGAUUCAAUGUUUUAUUCAGUUUAACCAUGACUAUUCUUUUCAUUCAGAUAUGCUAUGAACUAAAUUAUGUAUCUUCUUCGCCCUUGAAUUGGAUAAUUACCGUGGUUUCAUCUUUUGACUCAGAU